rnacentral:rRNA from 1 species
GGACUACUGGGGUAUCUAAUCCUGUUUGCUCCCCACGCUUUCGCGCCUCAGCGUCAGUAUCGGACCAGGUCGCCGCCUUCGCCACCGGUGUUCUUCCCAAUAUCUACGAAUUUCACCUCUACACUGGGAAUUCCACGACCCUCUUCCGCACUCAAGUCCGCACGUAUCAAACGCAGCCCCCAGGUUGAGCCCAGGAAUUUCACGUCUGACUGUACGAACCGCCUACGCGCCCUUUACGCCCAGUCAAUCCGAGCAACGCUAGCCCCCUUCGUAUUACCGCGGCUGCUGGCAC